rnacentral:rRNA from 1 species
GACGAACGCUGGCGGCGUGCUUAACACAUGCAAGUCGAGCGGUAAGGCCCUUUCGGGGGUACACGAGCGGCGAACGGGUGAGUAACACGUGGGUGACCUGCCCUUAGCUCUGGGAUAAGCCUGGGAAACUGGGCCUAAUACCGGAUAUGACUCCAUGACGCAUGUUGUGGGGUGGGAAGCCUUGUGCGGCUAGGGAUGGGCCCGCGGCCUAUCAGCUUGUUGGUGGGGUGAUGGCCUACCAAGGCGACGACGGGUAGCCGGCCUGAGAGGGCGACCGGCCACACUGGGACUGAGACACGGCCCAGACUCCUACGGGAGGCAGCAGUGGGGAAUCUUGCGCAAUGGGCGAAAGCCUGACGCAGCGACGCCGCGUGAGGGAUGACGGCCU